rnacentral:rRNA from 1 species
UACAGAGGUCUCAAGCGUUGUUCGGAUUCAUUGGGCGUAAAGGGUGCGUAGGCGGCUCGGCAAAUCGGUCGUGGAAUCUCGACGCUUACCGUCGAAACGGCGGCCGAAAAUACCGGGCUCGAGGGCGUGAGGGGUCACUGGAACUCCUGGUGAAGCGGUGAAAUGCGUAGAUAUCAGGAGGAACGCCGGAGGCGAAAGCGAGUGACUGGCGCGUUCCUGACGCUGAGGUGCGAAAGCUAGGGGAGCAAACAGG